GAUGAACGCUGGCGGCGUGCCUAAUACAUGCAAGUCGAGCGAGAAGCUUGGAAAUGACGCUUCGGUUGAUUUUCCAAGCGGACAGCGGCGGACGGGUGAGUAACGCGUAGGCAACCUGCCCCUGACAGAGGGAUAGCCAUUGGAAACGAUGAUUAAAACCUCAUGACACCGUAGUAGCACAUGCUACAUCGGUCAAAGAUUUAUCGGUCAGGGAUGGGCCUGCGUCUGAUUAACUGGUUGGUGAGGUAACGGCUCACCAAGGUGACGAUCAGUAGCCGACCUGAGAGGGUGAUCGGCCACAUUGGAACUGAGACACGGUCCAAACUCUACGGAGGCAGCAGUAGGGAAUCUUGCACAAUGGGCGAAAGCCUGAUGCAGCAACGCCGCGUGAAGGAUGAAGGCCUUCGGGUUGUAAACUUCUGUUCUAAGGGAAGAAAGAAAUGACGUACCUAGAGCAG
rnacentral:rRNA from 1 species